rnacentral:lncRNA from 1 species
GUCUGUCUUGUUUAUUACUGUGACCUCAGUAUCUGUCACAGUAGUGUUCAGUAAAUUAUUACUGGCUGAUAUAGCAUCUAUAAAACUUCAAAGUGCUGAAAUAUUACAUACUAUUUUCUUUAUAUUCUGCCUUGCUCUAAAAAGAAUUCAAGAGACAAGCCUUAUUAUUCCACCAUCUUUGUUGAUAUCACUAUUCUGUUAAUGUCAACCUGUUAUUCAGAGUUGGAAUUCCUUAAAUGGGCUUAGGGAAAGUCUAGAAAUAAGCAGGGAGCCUCACUCCACAAGUGGUUGCUAAGAGGUGAGGAGGAGAUCAGCUCCUGGAGGAGACAUCUUGGAACAGGUGCAGAAAGCUCUGAGCCACGCAUUGGAACACAGCCUAGGGGGUGCUGGAAGAGUUUCUUGGUCUAGUCAUUUGGGAGGCUUUGGACUUUCAGAGACCAGAGGGGCUGGAACCUGCAGCCCACUUAAAACAGAUCGGAGCUAAAUGAACUGCUUUGAAGAUUCUGAGGGCAUGUUGGGCUCAUCAUUAUCUCUGUCCAAUGGGAAUAUGGUUUGAACCUCUCCAUUGGGAUCAGAAAUUUCCUACACAAAUAACUGUUAAAGUCCUAGAUUCUCCAAAUGAUUUGUUUUAAAUAUAAGACAUUUUAGUGAAUUCAAAGUUAUCUCCAUGACAUGUUGCUUCCACUCACUUGCCUUCUUAGCAGAAGAUAAAAGUACAGAGUUCCCUGCAGCUCACAGAACCUGGGGACUCUCAUCUGUGCCCCAAUCCACUGUGUAAUGGAUGGCGUCAGCUGCCACUCACCUGUGGACAAUGCAGAACAAGUUCUUCACAGCAGCAGAAGCUGGCGUGGUGGCUUCCUGUG